rnacentral:rRNA from 1 species
AGAUCUGUCCUACGGGGGCAGCAGUGGGGGAUAUUGCACAAUGGGGGGAACCCUGAUGCAGCGACGCCGCGUGGGUGAAGAAGCGCCUCGGCGCGUAAAGCCCUGUCAGCAGGGAAGAAAAUGACGGUACCUGAAGAAGAAGCCCCGGCUAACUACGUGCC